rnacentral:lncRNA from 1 species
GUGAUAACUAGUGUGAGUGUCGGGGUAGCGAGUGCAUUGCUCUUGACUGGAGUUUGUUGCCUUCACGUCGGCUAUGCCAAAGCGGUUAUUCACCGUGAAGUGAACUCUGCAAAUAUCUUACUCGACAAGAACCUAUUGCUUAAAGUUUCUGAUUUUCGAAAGUAGCGUAGUCAAAUGGAUUUUAUUCUACAAAAAUUCCAACAUGUACGAACAUAUCUAUGUGACUAAUAAAAACAUAUAU